CACGUAGGGGGCGAGCGUUGUCCGGAUUCAUUGGGCGUAAAGAGCUCGUAGGCGGCUCAGUAAGUCGGGUGUGAAACCCUCAGGCUCAACCUGGGGACGCCACUCGAUACUGCUGUGGCUAGAGUCCAGUAGGGGAGUGUGGAAUUCCCGGUGUAGCGGUGAAAUUCGUAGAUAUCAAGCGGAACACCGGUGGCGAAGGCGGAUCUCUGGGCCUUACCUGACGCUCAGGCACGAAAGCUAGGGGAGCGAACAGG
rnacentral:rRNA from 1 species